GACGAACGCUGGCGGCGUGCUUAACACAUGCAAGUCGAGCGGUAAGGCCCUUUCGGGGGUACGACGAGCGGCGAACGGGUGAGUAACACGUGGGUGACCUGCCCUUAGCUCUGGGAUAAGCCUGGGAAACUGGGUCUAAUACCGGAUAUGACUCCAUGACGCAUGUUGUGGGGUGGAAAGCCUUGUGCGGCUAGGGAUGGGCCCGCGGCCUAUCAGCUUGUUGGUGGGGUGAUGGCCUACCAAGGCGACGACGGGUAGCCGGCCUGAGAGGGCGACCGGCCACACUGGGACUGAGACACGGCCCAGACUCCUACGGGAGGCAGCAGUGGGGAAUCUUGCGCAAUGGGCGAAAGCCUGACGCAGCGACGCCGCGUGAGGGAUGACGGCCUC
rnacentral:rRNA from 1 species